rnacentral:rRNA from 1 species
UACGUAGGGGUGCAAGCGUUAAUCGGAAUUACUGGACGUAAAGCGUGCGCAGGCGGCUUUGCAAGACAGAUGUGAAAUCCCCGGGCUUAACCUGGGAACUGCAUUUGUGACUGCAUGGCUGGAGUGCGGCAGAGGGGGAUGGAAUUCCGGCGUGUAGCAGUGAAAUGCGUAGAUAUGCGGAGGAACACCGAUGGCGAAGGCAAUCCCCUGGGCCUGCACUGACGCUCAUGCACGAAAGCGUGGGGAGCAAACAGG